GACCCGGUCCUGCAAGGGCGAGAGGACAAGAAAAGCUUUCCUUUGGAGGACGGAGAUUUCGCAACUGCCUCCCCCAUUUGGCACAUUGUCAUCUUCAAGGCUGGCAUUUGCAGCUCAGGGCUGUGGGGAAAAUCUAAUUCUGCCCCUGUGGAAAGGAAGGAAAAUGAAGGCACUGACAGGAAGCUCCCUUUGGUGCCUCUUGCUGCCACCUGAAGACUGGCUUUGUUAGGGCCAACCCAUCCUCACCACCCAAUAGAAAAAUAUGUAGAAAACCAUGGCAGUCAGGUCUGGUUUGGCUACUGACAAAAUCGUGUCUUUGAAAAAAAGUUAAUGGUUAAAGUUUUAGACCAAGUUUUGGAGGUGUGCCCAAUAUUAACAGCAUAAUGCGCUUGUGAUAGAUGCUGUAAUAUUGUACUCAAUUUAACUGCAGGAUAAUUGGGACUGAAAAUGGUGAAGGGUAAGGAGCUACCAAAGGGCUUCCAUUAGAAGCUCUGCAAUGGUUGGGAGCUAAUCAUGUAGCAGAGCAGCUCUGGAGCCAACUAGAAAAUGCCUUGAAAGUGACCAAAACGAAUCAGUUUCCAGGCUGCUAAUGCCACUAAGUAGUGCCAUGCUUCAAACCAGAUGGCAUGAUAAACUGAUUCUUUUUCAUCCAUCUCUGGCCAGUAUCUUCUAUACAAUUAAAUUCUGAUUUUCAAAACAUAAAUGCCAGUUUUUCCUCAAUUUUGCCAUUUUUAACCUCAGCGUAUGUUACUGUUGUUCACAAAGUGACUUGAUUUCUGUCUCAGCUUCACCCGGUCUUCGGUAGGUCUCAUGGUCAACUAUUACAUUUAAACAUCUGCCAUAUUUUCAUCUCCAGUUUUAUUGUUCAGAAUCAACAAUUUAACAAAAUCCUGGUAGUUUCAAGAUUAUUGUGACAUUGGGUGAUCAUUCCACAUGAUUGAGAGCCUGAUAAGAUACAGCUCUGAAUAAGGCUCUAAGGAUUCUUUGAGGGGAAAGAUAAACAGAAAUCCUUGCAGGGAAGAACAAG
rnacentral:lncRNA from 1 species